rnacentral:tRNA from 1 species
AUUUCUUAGUUGGUUAGAGAAUGCGGUUGUUAACCACAAGGUUGUAGGUUCAAUCCCUUCU